ACCUGGUUGAUCCUGCCAGUGAUUAUAUGCUUCUCUCAAAGACUAAGCCAUGCAUGCGUAAGUUCACAUCGAUUAUUAUGAUGAAACUGCGGAGCGCUCAGUAAAUCAGUUAUUGCCCAUUCGAUAGUGUCCAACUAUGGAUAACUCUGGCAAAUCUAUAGCUAAUACAUGAAUUAAGAACCAUCCGCGUCCAGUACGCGGUGGGGGCAUUUAUUAGUGAAAAAUCAACCGAGGUGCGAGCCUUGUAGUUGAAACUGAAUAACUGUGCUUAUCGAUCCCUCGCGGGCGAUAUUUCGAUCGGGUUUCUGCCCUAUCAACUUGUUGCUAGGGUAUUUACCUAGCAAGGUUUUGACGGGUAACGGGGAAUCAGGGUUCGAUUCCGGAGAGGGAGCCUGAGAAACGGCUACCACAUCCAAGGAGGGCAGCAGGCGCGCAAAUUACCCAAUCCGAAUAUCGGGAGGUAGUAACGAGAAAUACCAAGGUGAGCCAACGGUUCGCCAUUGGAAUGAGAUUAAUCUAUAACCUUUUUCGAGUAACAACUGGAGGGCAAGUCUGGUGCCAGCAGCCGCGGUAAUUCCAGCUCCAGUAGUGUAUAUCAAUAUUGUUGCAGUUAAAACGCUCGUAGUUGGAUGACAGGGGUCUGUUUCCAUGAGAACAAUAUGUUCGGCAUGGAGAGGGGCCCUUUUAUUGCAUGAACCAGUGGUUGGCUUGAUUGCUAGUUGCUGGUCUCCUGCAAAGCGUGCCUUGAAUAAAGCAUAGUGCUCAAAGCAAGUGUUACGCUAGAAUGUUUCAGCAUGGAACGAACAACCAGAUUUCUGGUUCAGUUGGUUGAUUUUGAUUCUGGUCCGAUUGGCUGGCUGCUGGUUGGCUGGCUGAUCGAUGCCGGUUUCACUGAACUGGGUCAUGAUUAAAAGGGACAUUUGAGGGCGUUGGUACUCUGUGGCGAGAGGUGAAAUUCUUUGACCCACAGAAGACUCACAAAUGCGAAAGCAUCCGCCAAGAAUGUUUUCAUUAAUCAAGAACGAAAGUUGGAGGAUCGAAGACGAUCAGAUACCGUCGUAGUUCCAUACAGUAAACUAUGCCGACUCGGGUUCAGCCCGUAAAAUUUGCAGGUUGGGGCCCCUGGGAAACCUAAAGUUUUCGGGUUCUGGGGGAAGUACGGUCGCAAGUCUGAAACUUAAAGGCAUUGACGGAAAAACACCACCAGGAGUGGGGUGUGCGGCUUAAUUUGACUCAACACGGGGAAACUUACCAGAUCCGGACAUUAAAAGGAAUGACAGGCUGAUAGACCUUUCAUGAUAUAAUGUAUGGUGGUGCAUGGCCGUUCUUAGUUCGUGGAGCGAUUUGUCUGGUUUAUUCCGAUAACGAGCGAGACCACAAUCCCUAUUUUAUUGCUCAUUCAACAAGAUUGGUUGAUAUCGAGUGGUUGAUCUCUGACCGGAGAUGGUAAUGUCAGUUGGUUCGGUGGGUGCUUCUGUGCUUGCUGGGCCGGUCUGAUUGCUCUGUUUUUGGGUUUGAUUUUGGCUGUUGGUAUCAGCUAUCUGAAUGAGAUAUUAGGGAGACCACCGUGCGAUAAAAAAGCCGGAGGAAGUGUGGCAAUAACAGGUCUGUGAUGCCCUUCGAUGUCCUGGGCUGCACGCGCACCACAAUGGUAGUGACAGCGAGUUACUGUUCCGAGAGGAAUGGUUAAACAGAAAUCACUGUCGUAAUUUGAACUGAGCCUUGUAAUAAUUGCUCACGAAAGAGGAAUUCCUUGUAAGUACGAGUCACCAGCUCGUGCUGAAUACGUCUCUGUUUUUUGUACACACCGCCCGUCGCUACUACUGAUUGAAUAGGAUUUCGAAAGGUAGGGAUUCACGUGGGAUCUGAUCCCUAGUGGGAGAACUACCUUAAGGAGUUUGUUCGAAAAGAAGUAAAAGUCGUAACAAGGCUUCCGUAGGUGAACCAGCGGAAG
rnacentral:rRNA from 1 species